AUGGAGUCUGGGUGCAAGGAUUUUAUUGCUUGGAGCUACACAAAGAACGGUCUAUUCAAUGUACGAUCAGCUUAUUUGGAAGAAUGGUAUAAACAGCAUGGGAGAAAAUUGGAGUAUACAAAUGGCAUGGGUAGAAAUUCCCAGAAUACACGAGAGCUGAUAGCAAUAACUGCGUGGUACUUAUGGUGGAAUAGACGGAAGCUUGUUCAUGAGGGGAAUGCCUACUCACAAAAGGCAAAGAGGAAGAGUGAAGGAUGGAGCAAACCUCCCAUGGGUUUUGUUAAAUUGAAUUCUGAUGCUUCUUUUGAUCAUGACCAACUAAGGGGCACAACGGGGGCUGUUGUCAGGGAUGAUAGAGGAAACUUCAUUGUAGGUGGAAGUGUUGUCUGGAUGCUCUGA
rnacentral:rRNA from 1 species